rnacentral:rRNA from 1 species
GACGAACGCUGGCGGCGUGCUUAACACAUGCAAGUCGAACGGAAAGGCCCUGCUUUUGUGGGGUGCUCGAGUGGCGAACGGGUGAGUAACACGUGAGUAACCUGCCCUUGACUUUGGGAUAACUUCAGGAAACUGGGGCUAAUACCGGAUAGGAGCUCCUGCUGCAUGGUGGGGGUUGGAAAGUUUCGGCGGUUGGGGAUGGACUCGCGGCUUAUCAGCUUGUUGGUGGGGUAGUGGCUUACCAAGGCUUUGACGGGUAGCCGGCCUGAGAGGGUGACCGGCCACAUUGGGACUGAGAGACGGCCCAGACUCCUACGGGAGGCAGCAGUGGGGAAUAUGGCACAAUGGGCGGAAGCCUGAUGCAGCAACGCCGCGUGCGGGAUGACGGCCUUCGGGUUGUAAACCGCUUUCGACUGUGACGAAGCGUGAGUGACGGUAAUGGGUAAAGAAGCACCGGCUAACUACGUG